UACCGGUGACAACCCUCAAGGGAGAGUGCCUGGAGAGACAUGAGGCAGGCAGGAGGCAACUGAAGGAAGCCAAGCCCUUCCCCACACAGGUUUAUCUGGCAGAGGGAAAAAAGGCUGAAGGCAGUCCACCACAUGUGAUAAUCUCUGGAGGUGACUUAUGCUCUCCUUCAACUGUGGGGCUGGAGCAGAGAGAAGGAUGGUCGUCACCCCCGCAGAAGGCAAGAGACUACCCUUAGCGUUGAUAACAACCAUACCUCACACUCACAGGCUCCUUUGCGGUUACAAAGUGUCCUUCUUCACUGCUGAGCGUUUGCUCCUCACCACAGCCAUUUCACAGGAAAGGAAGCUAAGCCUCAGAGAGGCUGCGACUCUCUCUCAGACAGCCCGUGGCAUGGCUGGGGCCAGGACGGACCUCUGCACGUUCCGAGUCCUGCAGGCGCAUGUCCUGGAGAGAGGGGAGCUGGCAGAGAGGUCCAGAUCCCAGCAAAGCACAACCCCGAGGCCCCCUCUGCGCUCCCACCCGAAUCGCGGCGGCGGCACGCCC